UACGUAGGGUGCAAGCGUUGUCCGGAUUUAUUGGGCGUAAAGAGCUCGUAGGCGGCUUGUCGCGUCGAAUGUGAAAACUCGGGGCUCAACUCCGAGCUUGCAUUCGAUACGGGCAGGCUAGAGUUCGGUAGGGGAGACUGGAAUUCCUGGUGUAGCGGUGAAAUGCGCAGAUAUCAGGAGGAACACCGGUGGCGAAGGCGGUUCUCUGGGCAUGUCCUGACGCUGAGGAGCGAAAGUGUGGGGAGCGAACAGG
rnacentral:rRNA from 1 species